GACGUAGGGCGCGAGCGUUGUCCGGAUUUAUUGGGCGUAAAGAGCUCGUAGGCGGUCUGUUGCGUCCGCUGUGAAAACUCGGGGCUUAACCCCGAGCCUGCAGUGGAUACGGGCAGACUAGAGGUAGGUAGGGGAGAAUGGAAUUCCCGGUGUAGCGGUGAAAUGCGCAGAUAUCGGGAGGAACACCGGUGGCGAAGGCAGAUCUCUGGGCCGUAACUGACGCUGAGGAGCGAAAGCAUGGGGAGCGAACAGG
rnacentral:rRNA from 1 species